CAGCAGCCGCGGGAAUACAGAGGAUGCAAGCGUUAUCCGGAAUGAUUGGGCGUAAAGGGCUCGCAGGCGGUUUCUUAAGUCUGAUGUGAAAGCCCCCGGCUCAACCGGGGAGGGUCAUUGGAAACUGGGAAACUUGAGUGCAGAAGAGGAGAGUGGAAUUCCACGUGUAGCGGUGAAAUGCGUAGAGAUGUGGAGGAACACCAGUGGCGAAGGCGACUCUCUGGUCUGUAACUGACGCUGAGGAGCGAAAGCGUGGGGAGCGAACAGGAUUAGAUACCCCAGUAGUCCCUGUCUCUUAUAC
rnacentral:rRNA from 1 species